AUUAGAUUCAUGCCGAAUCCAGUUAAAUAACUGGAACGGGGGAACCAAUUUUGGGGUGAAUCCGGCUUUUGCUGGUAGGGCAAUCCCCUUGCCCGAAUCCGUCAGCUAACCUCGCAGGCUUUUGGGGGAGGGUAU
rnacentral:sRNA from 2 species